rnacentral:rRNA from 1 species
GACAGAGGGUGCAAACGUUGUUCGGAAUUACUGGGCGUAAAGCGCGUGUAGGCGGCUUGGCAAGUCGGGUGUGAAAGCCCCGGGCUCAACCUGGGAAGUGCACUCGAAACUGCUUCGCUUGAGUACUGGAGAGGGUAGUGGAAUUCUCGGUGUAGAGGUGAAAUUCGUAGAUAUCGAGAGGAACAUCGGUGGCGAAGGCGGCUACCUGGACAGUUACUGACGCUGAGACGCGAAAGCGUGGGGAGCAAACAGGAUUGAAGAAACCCUAG